rnacentral:rRNA from 1 species
UAUGUGAUCGUCUCUCGCAUAUCAAUAAGCGGAGGGAAAAGUCAACUACCUACGCUUAGGAUGUUGACACACGCGCGUGCUCGACUCUAUACAUGACUCUGUGCAUAUCAAUAAGCGGAGGAAAAGAAACUAACAAGGAUUCCCCUAGUAACGGCGAGUGAAGCGGGAAGAGCUCAAAUUUGAAAUCUUAAAGGGUUUCCCUUUACGAAUUGUAGUUUAAAGAAGUGUUUUCUGUUGAGGUUUUGGUAAAAGUUCUUUGGAAUAGGACAUCAUAGAGGGUGAGAAUCCCGUAUUUGACCUUUACUUUCAACUUUGUGAUACACUUUCAAAGAGUCGGAUUGUUUGGGAAUGCAGUCCAAAAUGGGUGGUAAAUUUCAUCUAAAGCUAAAUAUUGGCGAGAGACCGAUAGCGAACAAGUACCGUGAGGGAAAGAUGAAAAGAACUUUGAAGAGAGAGUUAAACAGUACGUGAAAUUGUCAAAAGGGAAGCGUUUGCACUCAGUGUUGUUUUUCUGAAAAUCAAUUAAAGAACUGUUUAUGCUAAGUUGUUUAGACUUUAUCAGCUAACUGUUUAGUUUUGAGCUUUUCUUUAAUGCACUUUUCAGUUAACAAGUCAACAUCAAUUUCUUUUGCUGUAAAAAAGCUUGAGGAAGGUGGCUUGAGAUUCGUCUUAAGUGUUUAUAGCCUCUUGCCUAUGCAGUCGGAGAGAUUGAGGUCUGCAGCGUAGAUCCUUCGGGGCUAAAUGCAUUUGUGCUAAGUUAUAGCAUUUUAUAGACAACUUGUUGACUAUGAUUUGUCUUGUAGCUUACUCGCUUAUGUUAUUUUACCUACGCUUAGGAUGUUGACACACGCGCGUGCUCG